GAGUGAACGCUGGCGGUAGGCCUAACCCAUGCAAGUCGAACGGCAGCACAGUAAGAGCUUGCUCUUACGGGUGGCGAGUGGCGGACGGGUGAGGAAUACAUCGGAAUCUACUUUUUCGUGGGGGAUAACGUAGGGAAACUUACGCUAAUACCGCAUACGACCUACGGGUGAAAGCAGGGGAUCUUCGGACCUUGCGCGAUUGAAUGAGCCGAUGUCGGAUUAGCUAGUUGGCGGGGUAAAGGCCCACCAAGGCGACGAUCCGUAGCUGGUCUGAGAGGAUGAUCAGCCACACUGGAACUGAGACACGGUCCAGACUCCUACGGGAGGCAGCAGUGGGGAAUAUUGGACAAUGGGCGCAAGCCUGAUCCAGCCAUACCGCGUGGGUGAAGAAGGCCUUCGGGUUGUAAAGCCCUUUUGUUGGGAAAGAAAAGCAGCAGGUUAAUACCCCGCUGUUCCGACGGUACCCAAAGAAUAAGCACCGGCUAACUUCGUG
rnacentral:rRNA from 1 species